AUUCAUGCAAUUGAUUACGCACAUUUAUCUGCGGUUUCCUACAUUAUCAGUUGCUAAUGUCAUGUUGCUCAAAAUGUAUUAUACAGUUUUCUGUGCAAUAGUCUUACCCCCCAAAACAUCUAGUCUUUAGUUCAUCGUAUAAGUCAUUAAAUGCAAAAUGGUUAAUCUAGUUGUCAUAAACUGCCAAGCACACUUUUUAUUUGUAUUUUUACACACUAUUAUUAGAUGUUUUGUCAAUUUGGCAUGAAUUGUGCAAGUGAAUCUUUACUAAUGAAGAGAAUGUAGAUGAUAAACCAAUGAUAAACCAUUUCUCUGAAAUAGCUCAAAGGUUCAUCUCAUGAAUCUUCAGUAGGAAAGCUUAUACUGUAUAGACAAAGGACAACACAAGAGUUACAAAUUCUGAAAAUGGAAUUAUUUUCAUCUUUGUUCCCAUAUUUCCUUUUCUAUAUCACAAUGGCAUUGUAAAAGUAUUUUUUAUUUUUUUAUUUUUUUGGUCAGACCACUAGUAAAAGUGUAACUGGGAAUUCUAUCCAGUCUCUUUCAAUCAACAUCCCACAAACAGUAAUGUGUAAAUGUGUAGUUUUGAAAUGGAUAUAUGGCAUACAUAAGCAUAUGGCAUACUGUUCAAUACAGUAGUUUACAUCAGAACAUACAUCAGUUAUGUUGACAACAUGACUAAGCAAUUUGACUGUCUUAUCCGUAAACUAUGACACAAGGACUUGUCAUUCUGAUGGCACUGACAUGUUCAUUGACACAGAUAUUUAUUUUUGAGAGAUGAACUAAGGAUUUUGAGCAAGAGACUGGCUUUUGCAGGUCAUCCAUUGUGUUUUGAUAUUUGUACGAGUUGUUUUGAGAAAUGCACUUACUGUUUUGCAAAUCUCAAGAAUGAUUAGAGAAAUGUACCAAAGCGACUGAGAAAAACUGUAACUGUGAAUUCUAUCCAGCCUCAAUCAGUAUCCCACAUACAGUAAUGUGUACAUUGUUACUUUUGAAAUGGAUAUAUGGCAUAUGGCAUACUGUUCAAUACAGUAACUGUCAUCCAAAACAGUUGCUAUAGUUUACAUCAGAACAUCCCUCCAGAGUACACUGUUAUAUCUUAUCUGUAAACUAUGACACAAGGACUUGUCAUUCUGAUGGCACUGACAUGUUCAUUUAUUUUUGAGAGAUGCAAGAGACUGGCUUUUGCAGGUAAUCCAUGGUGUUCUGCUAUUUGUACGAGUUGUUUUGAGAAAUGCAAUUACUGUUUUGCAAAUCUCAAGGAUGAUUCGAGAAAUGUACCAAAGCAACUGAGAAAAACUGUAACAUUAGCACAGAAUCAGUUCAGAAUCAAUCACCAAAAGAAUCAGUUCAGUUCAGACGUGCUCUGUGUCAGUCUGCUUCACGCUGAAUCACGCAUGCGCAGUAUCAUCAGCUCCUCGGUCCUCGAAUCGGAGUCGGACGCGUCCGACAGAAACAGUUCUCGGUUCAGUGUACUGGUGAUCCAAAAACCGAUGCACCCGGUUCGUGACUCAAGAAUGAGAAACUCUCCGGCAUUGGGCAUGUAAGUUCGUCUGGCUCUGCUGCAAAAAUCUUCCCCCGGCCUUUAUUUGUCCGUGUGGACCACGCCCCCGACCACUAUAAGAGGCCCGAUGCUCUGACGGAACACUCAUACCCUACCCAUCAGAAUGGGAUACCUUCGGUUAAUGUACAUGCUGCGCAGCAGUGAAAUUGGUGGAAUUGUGCAUGCGUUAAAUUUAAACAUAAUUUCAGCAAGAUUACAAGCGGUAAACAGCAUACCCUUGUAUAAACUGUAUUUUUAUUAAACCAGGGCCUAUCAAAAAAGCAUAUCCCUGUAUAAACUGUAUUUUUAAUACAAAGUAGGCAAAAUUGACAGACUCCGCUAUAAAACUCAACUUCCGGUAUGCUAUUCUGACAAAGUAUGCUACAUCGACAGAACACCGGCGUUUAUUUGACUACCGGUUUUUAUUUGAGGAAUUAUGGUAAAUGCAGCUUGUGACCUAAUUGAAAGCUCUGUGUAGCUUCAACUGAUGAGACUUUGACAACUGCCACAGGAACUUGUGAGUGAAUAUCAUUUUGUAAAUUAAACAUAUACUUGACAAGCACGCAGAUGCAUUUUGCAUAUUUCACUUUAAACUGAUUCAAAGUAAAAAACAAACAACAAGAAAAAAAACCUUUCUUACUGAGUUCAGUGUAUUUCACUGCUUUUUUAAAAUGUGACUGUAACUGUUCAGUCAAAACAUUAGCAGACAAAUCAUAAGUACAGCUAAACUCUAUAAUUGAUCAUUGUCUGUGGAAACUAACCUAGACUUAAACACUAAUGUCUGUAAUCAUCAUGCAGUAAUUGAGUUUGUACUCUAAUCUGAUUUAAUUUGAGAUCUUUUCUGUUGCAGCUGUUCCUCACACUGUUCACACUCACUCUGAAGGUUGUUCAUUCACUCACUACACACAACUGCUAACUGAGUAUUUGCAAAUCUAACACAAACCUUGAAAUGUUCUCGUUUCAUGAUCAUAUAUUACGUACAUGGAACAGUGCUGUGAAAAUGUAUUUUCCCCAUCUUUAUUUUUCUCUUUUUGAACAUAUUUUAUAUUUUAUUUUAGAUCUUCAAAUGAAAUGCAACAAAGGCAACAUAUAAUUUUUUUUAUUUUUAUUUAUUUUUUUAACCCCCCAUACUAGGAUGGGGACAAACACUUUUCACAGCAAUGAAUCAUAAUUAAAAAAUGUGAACAUUAUUUAUCUGAUUUAGUGCAAUUAUGCAUUUUCAUUACCUUGUUGCAUUAUAAGAAUGGCUUUUCACUGUUAUUGAACCAUGAAUUCUACUUCCACUCUACUUUUUUAAAUUUUUUUCAGACUCAUGGCGUUAUCUUUGUCUGAACUCAUAGGAUUCAUCUGUCUAUGCUGCUUCACCAGUUCUGCUGAUGUUCUCACAGAGCUGAACUACAGUACACCUCCUGCCAGAUAGACAACUUCUCUUUUAACCUCCUCUGACUGCCAAAACAUGGAUGACCUGUUUACUUUCUUUUCCUUUCACUAAAGUAUUAAAUCUUUAGUCUACAUGUA